UACGUAGGGACCGAGCGUUAUCCGGAUUCAUUGGGCGUAAAGAGCUCGUAGGCGGCUAUUCAAGUCGAACGUGAAAUCUCGGGGCUCAACUCCGAGCCUGCGUUCGAUACUGGGUAGCUAGAGUCUGGUAGGGGGAUCUGGAAUUCCUGGUGUAGCGGUGAAAUGCGCAGAUAUCUGGAGGAACACCGGUGGCGAAGGCGGCAUCCUGGACCGGUAUUGACGCUGAGGCGCGAAAGCUAGGGGAGCAAACGGG
rnacentral:rRNA from 1 species